rnacentral:rRNA from 1 species
GGUAACCUACCCUCGGGAGGGGGAUAACCCCGGGAAACUGGGGCUAAUCCCCCAUAGGCCUGAGGUACUGGAAGGUCCUCAGGCCGAAAGGGGCUCUGCCCGCCCGAGGAUGGGCCGGCGGCCGAUUAGGUAGUUGGUGGGGUAACGGCCCACCAAGCCGAAGAUCGGUACGGGCUGUGAGAGCAGGAGCCCGGAGAUGGACACUGAGACACGGGUCCAGGCCCUACGGGGCGCAGCAGGCGCGAAACCUCCGCAAUGCGGGAAACCGCGACGGGGGGACCCCGAGUGCCGUGGCAUCGCCACGGCUUUUCCGGAGUGUAAAAAGCUCCGGGAAUAAGGGCUGGGCAAGGCCGGUGGCAGCCGCCGCGGUAAUACCGGCGGCCCGAGUGGUGGCCGCUAUUAUUGGGCCUAAAGCGUCCGUAGCCGGGCCCGUAAGUCCCUGGCGAAAUCCCACGGCUCAACCGUGGGGCUUGCUGGGGAUACUGCGGGCCUUGGGACCGGGAGAGGCGGGGGGUACCCCUGGGGUAGGGGUGAAAUCCUAUAAUCCCAGGGGGACCGCCAGUGGCGAAGGCGCCCCGCUGGAACGGGUCCGACGGUGAGGGACGAAGGCCAGGGGAGCAAACCGGAUUAGAUACCCGGGUAGUCCUGGCUGUAAAGGAUGCGGGCUAGGUGUCGGGUGAGCUUCGGGCUCGCCCGGUGCCGUAGGGAAGCCGUUAAGCCCGCCGCCUGGGGAGUACGGCCGCAAGGCUGAAAUUUAAAGGAAUUGGCGGGGGAGCACUACAAGGGGUGGAGCGUGCGGUUU